rnacentral:rRNA from 1 species
AUUUCCUACGGGGGGCAGCAGUGGGGGAUAUUGCACAAUGGGGGAAACCCUGAUGCAGCGACGCCGCGUGGGCGAAGAAGUAUUUCGGUAUGUAAAGCCCUAUCAGCAGGGAAGAAGAAAUGACGGUACCUGAGUAAGAAGCGCCGGCUAAAUACGUGCCAGCAGCCGCGGUAAUACGUAUGGUGCAAGCGUUAUCCGGAUUUACUGGGUGUAAAGGGAGCGUAGGUGGCAUGGUAAGCCAGAAGUGAAAACCCGGGGCUCAACCCCGCGGAUUGCUUUUGGAACUAUCAGGCUG